AAGCCAGUAGAUAUACUAAAGUAGCGACACGGACCUUGACAGGGCAACAAUAACGAUUAUAUACUCUAGAGAGGGCGCAACUAUCGAAAUUCGACAUAUACCGCAUUAUUUACAUAAAAUGCCUAGCCUUGAAAAGCCUUAGUAAGUGCGUUUUGUCUCUGUUUCUACGUUUAAUCUUCACUAAAUGAAAUUGCUAAAGGGGAUGCUCUAAAGAGAUAUUCGUUAAAGGUCACAUUAGAUGAUAGAUUUAAAUUGAGAAUGUAUUUAAACAAGCAGUUUAGUUUUCCAAGGCUCGACAUUUUUUGUAAUAACGCUGUAAUUUUAAAGGUUCGUCAAAUUGUCAGUAAUUUUGAACAUACGUCAAAACUGUCAAGAUUCUCUCACUUUUGAAAAAUUGGUAAAGAGUACAAUGAUUCUGGUGUUCAUCUGUAGUUUUACUGUGGUUAUUGGUUAUGAACAGAUUCCAUGGAACUUUCAAACCUGUGCUUCAAUCACGUAAAUAAUAAAUCGACACCAAAAACAUUAAACAAAGGAGCCUCCAGACUGUUCAAAGUCGUCCACAUUACGAAGCACGUCUGUGUAAUAAUACUAGAAACUCAUUCAAACAAAAUUUGAUUAAGAAAUGUAAAGUGUAUUUCAGGUAGAUUUAAACAAUACGUCCUUGAAAAUUCAUUCUAAAUUAUUAGAUUCCGCCCUAAUGGGAAAGAAUUUAAGACCGCUCUGCUUACACUGACCUUCGUUUCAGAAAAUUUAAUGCAUCUAAAUCUGGGAAUUGUAGCGCAUCGAAGUUUGGUGGACUUUUUAUAGCCACUUAUUUACAGCAACUAUGUUAUACAAAAUUUAAAUAAUAAAGAGAAAUUCAGGUUGUAUUAUUUCUAUUUCUUAAGUAAUAUCGAGGUGUAAACCGUACCCCAAAUUUUGUACACCUGUGAUUUAAUCAUGAUUCCUUCUGAUUUUUCCCUAAAUUUUUAAAGUGAUUUCCUUAAAAUUUCUUGAUUUACUCAAUUUUGUACACUGAUUUCCUCUGCGGUUUACCUCUCGGGUAAUAUUGAAAACACUUACUUUUAUUAUUGCGAAAAAUGUCUUGGUUUCAUAGCAGUUGUUAAUAGUGUUGAGGGAAAAAAUUAAAUUUAAUUAAAAAAAAAUAAAUCGACCAAUUUAAAAUCUUGGAGUAAUUAAAUACGAUAAACUGUAAAAACACUUAGAGAGGAGUUUAUUAAAAUUAGAAAUGUAAGUAUCACAAUUUUUUUAAAUCAAACAAUUAUUAUUUUGAAACGUGUUUUUGGCUUUUUCGUUAAAUACAAAGUUCAAAUUCUUUUAAGGAAUGAAUUCACUGUUGAAGCGCCAGCACCUUCUUCGAAAUGUCCAUAAGAGUUGCUGUAUUCUGCGCAUUCUAAAAGCCUUUCUCAUUGCAAUGUUCAGUUGAAUUUAGGGACGAUCUGAUUUAUUUUUACGUGAGUGAAGCACAAGUUUGAAGGUUUCAUGGUAUCUGUACACAUAAACUGUAAUAACCAGGGUGAAAUUAUAGACGAUCACCGAAUUUAUUGUUCUGAUUCACCAAUUUUUCAAACGUGAAAAAAUCUUGACAUUUUUGACGUACGUUUUUGAAUUUUGAUAGUGGAGCCAUCUGUAGAGUGUAUAAUCGUUAUUGUUGCCCUGUCAAGGUCCGUGUCGCUACUUUAGUAUAUCUACUGGCUUUGAUCAUGGUCAGUGUGAUGAAUGAUACGGUCAGUAAGAAGGCGCCACUGUCGCGUCACUCACCCGACUUGCACACGUAAUUUUCAUUUUCUCCGCCAAUCCGAUUAAAAACGAAACUGCACAGCCAAGUUAAAAACUCCCAGAGACAAAAACGAACAUCACGCCUUGUCUCUAAAUUACUCUUUAUUUAUCUAAGUACGUGCCUGGAGCAGGUCGCAUUGGAACCCCAUAAAAUCCCGAGUACAAGUUUUAAUGUUCCUUUCAGUUGUUUGACUCCAAGGAAUCCCCCAUAAAGUACAUCGUUUAUAAUCGAAAUAUACGAGAUAGGUGCAAUAUAAAAUGAUCAUUUUAUUUCUUUAUUAAGUCGGACGUUCCCUCGAGUUCGGAAACAGAUCGAAGUCGUUUUUUUAUCAUGGUUAAUGUCCCAGUGUGGUCUUUUAAAUCGAGCAUUAAACUUUUCGGACCGAAUGGAACUUGCCGGACCACACUGAAACAUUAAUUUUUGCGCCGCCCAAAGGGCCGAUACAAAUUAUUUCGAUUUGGGAUCGAGAGUUUUCAGCCGUGGCUUGCCGCCGGCUCAAUUAAUUUGGAAAUCAAUAACAGUCCACUGUUGUACACAUUUUUGCUAAAGAGAACUAACGCGUUGCAAACAAAACGUCAAUGAUGUCCACGCUAGUUUUACGGUUUGAAAUAUAUAACUCUUAAGGAAAAAAUUACCAAAUACGCCGAGGCCGCUCAGCGACCCUUAAAAAAUCCCAUCAAUUUUCCCAAUCGGCCCCUAAAUGCAUAAAAUUGUGUGGAAUAAAUCAACUUUGUAUUCAUAAAGCAGACAACAAUCAGACAAAUAAAUACAUUCCUGGUGUUCUGCCUUAUUCUGGUAACCGCCGGCACAAAAAAAUGAUUUAUCGGCCGGCGUCUGGUAGACACACCAGGUUUAUUCUUGGCCAAAAUAUCACGUUGUCAUUAGUAAGAUUGAUGUUUCCUCGUAUUAGUCCCGAUCGAAUCCCUCCAGUCGUCCGCAUGCAAACAUCUCUAAUUCGCUGUGAAGACAAGCCGCCCGUGCAAAACUGCAUCAAGUCGAUGUUUAUCUUCUUUAUGGCUCCUGUUUCCUGCUUGUUAGAGUCCAGAGUCGAGGAUUGUUUGACCAAAGCACCCCACAAAACAUCCUCUCGAGUUCCAGGUGAAUCUCCGGAAGUGGUUAAUCCAUUAUGUAUGUUGCUGAAAGCAUCGGGAUUUUGUAUGGAAAUCAUUCCGUAACUUAUGAAUAGGCGGAUAGGGCGCAAGUUUACUUACUUCUUGCUGCGGCAUUAAAGAUGGAUGGCUGAAUCGGAGGAUUCCAAAAGCCACCUAUCGACUGUCCGCCCCCUUUAAUAGUUUAUUGAAACGCGAAGACUUGGGGUCAGAUUUUAUGGAAAGAACGGAUUUAUGGAAAGCGCAAUUUACACACACAAAAAUCGCUCCCCAUUGUUGCGAAAAGCAACUCUAUGGAAACUACAAACUGACACGACUUUGACUACCCAAAUGGAGAAAUACUACAUUUUAAGGAACCCUCAGUCUAGAUUAGUUUUAGAUGGAACACAAACGAUUGUUGCCGCCCGCCAAGUCACCAGGUUCGACACUCAGCUGUGGAAAGUGGAACAUGUGGAGUGUGGAAAAUUUUUCAUCCACAACAAGGCUAACAAAGGAAAAGUUUUAGACAUCGAACGUGAAAGUAAAACAGGAGCCAACAUCUUACUCUGCGAAAAAGAAAAUGGAAACAUAAACCAAAACUGGUACAUAAAUUCCGACGGUUCCAUCGUCUGUGCUAACGGUGAUGAUUUUGCACUUGAUAUUUCAACGGACAGAAAAGUUAAACUUGAACGAAAGACUGGGUACCAAAACCAAAAAUUUGAAUUCUGCAGCAGAGGUGAUAUCUGAAUUAACUACCCAUCUAAGAAUUAAAGUGGAGAUUUGAACCAAGUUUGUUUUAAUAAAAACCGCCACUUUU